GGCAUCGUGGCUCAGAGGGUAAAGCUUCUGCCUGCAAUGCAGGAGACCUGGGUUCGAUCCCUGGGUCA
rnacentral:tRNA from 1 species